rnacentral:rRNA from 1 species
ACGAACGCUGGCGGCGUGCUUAACACAUGCAAGUCGAACGGAAAGGCCCUGCUUGCAGGGUACUCGAGUGGCGAACGGGUGAGUAACACGUGGGUGAUCUGCCCUGCACUUCGGGAUAAGCCUGGGAAACUGGGUCUAAUACCGGAUAGGAGCCAUUUUUAGUGUGAUGGUUGGAAAGUUUUUUCGGUGUAGGAUGAGCUCGCGGCCUAUCAGCUUGUUGGUGGGGUAAUGGCCUACCAAGGCGGCGACGGGUAGCCGGCCUGAGAGGGUGGACGGCCACCUUGGGACCGAGGUACGGCACAGGCGCCUACUGGAGGCAGCAGUGGGGAAUAUUGCACAAUGGGUGCAAGCCUGAUGCAGCAGCGCUGCGUGGGGGAUGACGGCCUUCGGGUGGUAAACGCCUUUCGCGAGGGACGAAGCUUGUUGUGACGGUACCUAGAUAAGAAGCACCGGCUAACUACGUG